rnacentral:lncRNA from 1 species
GUUGCUAGUGCCUUCCAACACGGCUGUUGUGUUUGCAGAGAGAUCAACGGCACCUGGUCUUGAGUCUGAAUGCCUGAUCAGUCUGAAUUCAGAAACGAUCCCUGAAACUUCAAACGGCAGAACAGCGGGAGACAAGACUGCAUGGCCGAAUACCAUUCUGAAUUCUGGAAUUCUCAAGUGCCGGUGGCUGCUGCGUAACAACAACUCCUGUAAGAAAAGUAUUUCCCAUUGCAGAGUAGGAAAGUUCAGCUCACCUAUACUUAACCACCCUGUCGUCCU